rnacentral:rRNA from 1 species
GACGUAGGUGGCGAACGUUAUCCGGAAUUAUUGGGCGUAAAGGGUGCGUAGGUGGCCUGACAAGUUAUCAGUGGCAAAUCGAGGCUCAACCUCGUGGAAACUGGUAAUACUGUUCGGCUUGAGUACAGGAGAGGUUAACGGAACUCUAUGUGGAGGGGUAAAAUCCAUAGAUAUAUAGAUGAACAUCAAUAACGGCGAAGGCAGUUAACUAUUCUGUUACUGACGCUGAGGCACGAAAGCGUGGGGAGCAAAACGG